ACGGGAAGGUGCCGACCAACCGUCGAUCCGUGGAUGUCCGAAGUGGGGAAACCCCGCACUCGUAAUGGAGUGUGACUCCCGCCUGAACACAUAGGGCGGGUAGAGGGAACUGGGUGAACUGAAACAUCUCAGUAACCCGAGGAAAGGAAAGUAACAACGACUCCGUAAGUAGCGGCGAGCGAACGCGGAAGAGCCUAAAACCAGACUGGUGUGAUAGCCCGACGGCGUUGCCAGUCCGGGGUUGUGGGACUCGAUAGGGGGCGCGUCGGCCCCCCACAGAGUUACAAAAGCUGCCAGGUAGUGGAAGCGUCUGGAAAGGCGCACCGCAGAGGGGUAAUGGUCCCGUACACGAAACCUGUGCAGUCUCUGAUCGAUGAUCCCGAGUAACGCCGAAUCCGAGAAAGUUGGCGUGAAUCAGCGAGGACCACCUCGUAAGGCUAAGUAUUCCUCAUCGACCGAUAGCGAACUAGUACCGUGAGGGAAAGGUGAAAAGUACCCCGGGAGGGGAGUGAAAU
rnacentral:rRNA from 1 species